CACUAAUACGGAGUGUUCUUUAAUGCUCUAAUUGCUAUAAUUUCUUACGCUGUCAUUUGUAAUUUGAUGAUUUGGCUAGCUUGGGGACCUGCAGUGUUUCCAAAGCGUUGCUUGUCGGCCACUGAAUGUGCUCAUCAUCGAUUGGCGAGCAACUCAUACAUGUGGAAUGUGUGUAUCGGUUACAUAGUACCUACGCAAGUGUCAGUGUUAGGAACGAGUAAUAUCAUGAUGAAGCAACCGGGUGCAAGAUGUUGGAUUAUCAAACCUGGACGAAAAAUCUUGGGAUGUAGACAACGAUAUAACAUACAUUUACAAGUCGUUUUUCUUCAUCUACGAACGCACACAACACACAGGGAAAAGACGCGUGUAAGAGGUCGGAGCGUCGUAAGAAUACGUGGACGCCCGGUGAUACCUAAAAACGUCCAAUUAAAAGCUCACUUCUACGUGCGCAACGUAUACGCGGUGUUAGGUUCGCCAGCCACAUGCUUCACUUUUAUUACAAGCCGGACAAAGAGCUGAUAAGUGAAGAGUGAAAGAUCUUUUGGAUAUUACAUUUCAUCGAUACGACGCAGCUGUGUGCACACAAUUAACGGAGUCAUCGAUACACCAAUUGUUUUACAAUGAUUGAAAGGAUCGUGAGCGAGUCUCUCCUCUUAGUACACAAGUUGCGCACGCUACAAGCAUUUCGAUGUCUUUUUGGUGUUCCCGCU
rnacentral:misc_RNA from 1 species